GGCGGAAGAAAGGGCUGCCCACCCUCCCCAGGCAGGUGUCUCACUUCCUUUGAACUGUUAAGGUUGACCUCAGGGUGUUUGGAAACUUGACUUUAGUUUCCCAAGUUUCUACUUGAGCACAGAUAUUUAUUAUCAGAAAAGAAACCGACAGAAAGGAAAGGGGAGGUGCAGAAGAGACUGUCUGUGUUGGGCGGAAAGAACCCAGGAACCACAGGGACCUGGGUCAGGUCCAGCGCAGUUAAUGGCCGGCUGUGACCCUGACCCGGAUCCGAGUAGGACUCAGAGGGCAGGCGGGCGAGGUCCCUGGAUUUGGAUGAAGCCCGACCAAAUGACAGAAUAACUGCUGUUUUUACUAUAACCAAGGCAACGGGAAACCACGGGCUCACAAGACAAGUGGAACAGCCCAGGAACGCUGAACGUGUAAGGGAAAAUAUUUCCAAAAUUCCAUUAUUUCCAAAAGCUGGACAUAGAACUAGAAGUAUCUGCUGGAGUGCAAUGCCCACCUUCUCUCUGUGUUCAGGCCAGCUCCUCUCCCAGCUGUGGCUGCUGCUGCUCCUGGCGGCAGGAGGGAAAGCAUCUGAGACCUGUGGACACCAAAGGUGGAGUCAUCAGUGCAGCAGCAGAAUGAACAGAACCAGGUUUGGCUCACUCAGGGAAGCCCCCUCUCCUCCCCCUCACCACCGACGACCAAACAGCAGCAGAUGAAGCCUUCUCUAUGAACAACUAUAAGGAAAUACCACAUCCUCAGAGACAAGAGUUUACAGCUUUAUGAAAGAGAAGAUUUAAACAUGUUUACAAGGUCUGACUUUACAGUAAUUACUACCAUGCACAUGUGUUAGGCUACUUCCUAUUCUAACGUGAAAUCCCCAAUGCAUUGCUUGGUAAACCAUGGUGUUCACUCAGAGUAAGUUUGCAUAUAGAAUCAUGGCCCGGAAGCAAUUAGUCUUUAGUUCAACUGAAAAUCUGGUAAUCAACCAUAAGGUGAAAUUUGGGUUGCUUUCCCCAGUUAUGGCUGAUUUAUUUUUGGUGUGGGUCCUCUAA